GACCAGACUCCUACGGGAGGCAGCAGUGAGGAAUAUUGGUCAAUGGGCGGGAGCCUGAACCAGCCAAGUCGCGUGAGGGAAGACGGUCCUACGGAUUGUAAACCUCUUUUGCCGGGGAGCAACGGGGUCCUUGCGAGGGCCCGAUGAGAGUACCCGGAGAAAAAGCAUCGGCUAACUCCGUGCCAGCAGCCGCGGUAAUACGGAGGAUGCGAGCGUUAUCCGGUUUUAUUGGGUUUAAAGGGUGCGUAGGCGGGAUGCCAAGUGAGCGGUAAAAUACGGGGGCUCAACCUGCGUCCGCCGUUGAAACUGGCGUUCUUGAGUGGGCGAGAAGUACGCGGAAUGCGUGGUGUAGCGGUGAAAUGCAUAGAUAUCACGCAGAACUCCGAUUGCGAAGGCAGCAUGCCGGCUCCACACUGACGCUGAGGCACGAAAGCGUGGGUAUCGAACAGGAUUAGAUACCCGUGUA
rnacentral:rRNA from 1 species